rnacentral:rRNA from 1 species
AACGCGAAGAACCUUACCAAGGCUUGACAUAUACUGGACUGCGUCAGAGAUGGCGUUUCCCUUCGGGGCUGGUAUACAGGUGGUGCAUGGUUGUCGUCAGCUCGUGUCGUGAGAUGUUGGGUUAAGUCCCGCAACGAGCGCAACUCUCGUUCUAUGUUGCCAGCACGUGAUGGUGGGGACUCAUAGGAGACUGCCGGGGUUAACUCGGAGGAAGGUGGGGAUGACGUCAAAUCAUCAUGCCCCUUAUGUCUUGGGCUUCACGCAUGCUACAAUGGCCGGUACAGAGGGUUGCGAUACUGUGAGGUGGAGCUAAUCCCUAAAAGCCGGUCUCAGUUCGGAUUGGGGUCUGCAACUCGACCCCAUGAAGUCGGAGUCGCUAGUAAUCGCAGAUCAGCAACGCUGCGGUGAAUACGUUCCCGGGCCUUGUACACACCG